rnacentral:rRNA from 1 species
AUUUGACCUCAAAUCAAGUAGGACUACCCGCUGAACUUAAGCAUAUCAAUAAGC